GAUGAACGCUGGCGGCGUGCCUAAUACAUGCAAGUCGAACGAAUCUUCUUCGGAAGAUGAGUGGCGAACGGGUGAGUAAUACAUAGGUAACCUGCCCCUGUGCGGGGGAUAACAGGAGGAAACUCCUGCUAAUACCGCAUAGCCAUGAGCACCGCAUGGAGCUCAUGCCAAAUAUCCUUUCGGGGAUAGCGCAGGGAUGGACCUAUGGCGCAUUAGCUGGUUGGCGGGGCAACGGCCCACCAAGGCAACGAUGCGUAGCCGGCCUGAGAGGGCGGACGGCCACAUUGGGACUGAGACACGGCCCAGACUCCUACGGGAGGCAGCAGUAGGGAAUUUUCGGCAAUGGGGGAAACCCUGACCGAGCAACGCCGCGUGAGCGAAGAAGGCCUUCGGGUCGUAAAGCUCUGUUGUAAAGGAAGAACGGCGCAUACAGGAAAUGGUAUGCGAGUGACGGUACUUUACCAGAAAGCCACGGCUAACUACGUGCCAGCCGCCGCUGUAACAC
rnacentral:rRNA from 1 species